GUCUCUAUCAGGAUCACCGCAAGCCUCUGCGAAAAAAAGCGUUUCGGGGAAACGGCCACUACUCCAGUAAUAAUUGAAAACUGCCACUAUGAUACAUAAAAAUAGUGCUAUGCACUUAAAAAUAAAUUCAAACUUCUCUCAUUUUUCUCGACCAAAAAGCUAUUAAAACAUGAAAAACAUCCUCAAACCAUUUGGCGGACUCUCAAGCAUUUCAAACGGUCCAUUCUCAAACUUACCACCAUUCCCAAAUAAUGGCAUAAUUGUUCGCAUGCUGCAAAAACAGGCCCAGCUAUGAGCAUUCCCAUUUGUCUUCCGUAUUGUGUAUGUGUGCAGUUCAUCACAAAAGAACGUCUUGCGUAAAAGAGCAAUAACUCAUUUACCCCUCGUGCCCGGGCGGCGACACAAAGGAAGCCCCCCACCC